ACUGGGGCCCCGCGGGGGUGUCCACCUCCGUGUGGCGCGGCGCGCGCCUCCGCGACGUGCUCCGCCGGUGCGGCGUCAUGCCGCGCAAGGGCGGCGCGCUCAACGUCUGCUUCGAGGGCGCCGAGGACCUCCCCGGCGGCGGCGGGUCCAAGUACGGCACCAGCAUCACCCGGGAGUGGGCCCUGGACCCGUCCCGGGACAUCAUGCUCGCCUACAUGCAGAACGGCGAGCCGCUGCUGCCGGACCACGGCUUCCCGGUCCGCGUCAUCAUCCCCGGCUGCAUCGGUGGGCGCAUGGUCAAGUGGCUCAAGCGCAUCAUCGUCACCCCCGUCGAGUCCGACAACUACUACCAUUACAAGGACAACCGCGUCCUG
rnacentral:lncRNA from 1 species